GGCCAGGUGUGAAAAUCAAGGAUGUUUUGAAGGACUGUGGCCAGGUGUGAAAAUCAAGGAUGUUUUGAAGGACAGUGGCCAGGUGUGAAAAUCAAGGAUGUUUUGAAGGACAGUGGCCAGGUGUGAAAAUCAAGGAUGUUUUGAAGGACAGUGGCCAGGUGUGAAAAUCAAGGAUGUUUUGAAGGACAGUGGCCAGGUGUGAAAAUCAAGGAUGUUUUGAAGGACAGUGGCCAGG